GAUUACAGGCGCCCACCACCACGCCCAGCUAAUUUUUUGUAUUUUUAGUAGAGACGGGGUUUCACCGUGGUCUCGAUCUCCUGACCUCGUGAUCCGCCUGCCUCGGCCUCCCAAAGUGCUGGGAUUACAAGCUUGAGCCACCGCACCGGGCCCUGAGAUGUCUCCAAGUGGUGGUGAGACAUCAUCAAAUCCUAAGAAACAAUAUACUUGAAGAUUUUUCACUCACUGCAUCAAAGUAAUCGUGGAAGCAAGUGAUGAUACUGUGGUGUCCUAAAGCAAAGCAUCCUGGAUCACUGUGCCGGCAGGUGGAGAACACUGCCCUGAAAAUCUGCCUGGACUCCUAGUCCAUUAUGCGUGAAAAUCACUCUUGUUGUGCGAAAUUACAUAUAUUCUGAAAUUAUUACUGCAGCAAAACUAACCUCUGCUCACUGGUAGAUAAAGAAGAUGCCCUUGGUUGCUUAGCAUCUGCACUGAGGUUUUUUUAA
rnacentral:lncRNA from 1 species